AACCUUACUAGACAUUGUCACAAGUGGGAAGAGGUAACAGACAUCAUGCUGGAGUGAGGUGAUUGUAAAAGAGGUAAUAAGGAGAUCUCCAGAAACUGUUUCCUGGAAUUGAUGAAGUGUGCCACACAUAAGAGUAAGGUAAAACAUGAAAAAUGGCCAGGCGUCAUGGCCCUUUCCAGCCCUAAACAUAUGGUUGUGUUGGUUUAAUGUUAGAGAAAAUGAGCAUAACCAAGAAAGAAAGAUCUUUUUUUUUUUUUUUUUGAAACGGAGUCUCGCUCUGUCGCCCAGGAAAGCAUCUUAAUAGUAUUCCAAGGGUGUUGGUGUUUCUCAAGACAGCUGAGAUUUCCUCCCAUCUCCCAUCUAAUGGAUUCACACUCACAGGUUUCUCUGAGAAGGGUCCAGGUGCCGCCAUUCCUCUCUGCUGAAAUCGAUAGCCACAUCCCUGAAGGACACUGAUCCCUGUAAGGGCAAAUUCCUGUUAAAUGUGCACAGUCAGCUUAGACGGUUGGAGAGACUAUAUUUAGGAAUAUGGAAUACAGGUGCGUGAACCCUGGAGGCGGAGCUUACAGUGAUCCGAGAUUGCACCAGUGCGCUCCAGCCUGGGCUACACAGCAUGACUCUGUCUCAUAUUUGAAAGCCUACGACCUUUAUGAUCAUCUGGAUAGAAUCACCUUUGAGGUGGGAAACUUUACUAGUAUCUCUCAACUCCUUGAGUACUUGGUACAAAAUAGUGAUCACUACUAUUAAAACCUCAUAGCAUUACAUCUGAUAGAACAAAUUUUUUUCUUUUCCAGU
rnacentral:lncRNA from 1 species